rnacentral:rRNA from 1 species
UACGUAGGUGGCAAGCGUUGUCCGGAUUUACUGGGCGUAAAGAGCGCGCAGGCGGUCGUUCAAGUCGCGUGUGAAAGCCCCCGGCUCAACUGGGGAGGGUCACGCGAUACUGAUCGACUCGAAGGCAGGAGAGGGUAGUGGAAUUCCCGGUGUAGCGGUGAAAUGCGCAGAUAUCAGGAGGAACACCAACGGCGAAGGCAGCUCUCUGGGACGUUACUGACGCUGAGACGCGAAAGCGUGGGGAGCAAACAGG